AGCUCCAAUAGCGUAUAUUAAAGUUGUUGCAGUUAAAAAGCUCGUAGUUGGAUCUCAGGCGCAGGCGGGCGGUCCGGCUCGCGCCGGCUCACUGCCCGUUGUUUCCUGCCCUACCCGUCUGCCGGCUCUCUCCCGCGUGGUGCUCUUCGCUGAGCGUCCCGGGUGGCCGGCGCGUUUACUUUGAAAAAAUUAGAGUGUUCAAAGCAGGCCUUAUCGCCUGAAUAAUGGUGCAUGGAAUAAUGGAAUAGGACCUCGGUUCUAUUUUGUUGGUUUCUACGACCGCAGUAAUGAUUAAGAGGGACAAUUGGGGGCAUCCGUAUUUCGUUGUCAGAGGUGAAAUUCUUGGAUUUACGAAAGACGAACAACUGCGAAAGCAUUUGCCAAGAGUGUUUUCAUUAAU
rnacentral:rRNA from 1 species